GUCCAAAAGGACAAAAAAAUAGGAAAGGAAAAGGGUGGGAAAAUUCUUGUCAAAAGGAACUUUCGUUGGAAAGCGUAUAGGCGUAUAGCUGGCUGUUGUCCCGUGCUUGUCAUACUAGUAUACUAUUAAUUUAACCCUAAUCUUUCAUUCAAAAAUUCACAUUUUGUAAAACAAUGUAGGAAAUAUUAAUAACGACUGGGGAAUUCCCGGAUGUUUCCACCAAUACUAGCGAGCAAUGCAUUUUUCUUCAUUGGUUUUAAAUUUUUCUUUAAUUUUAUUCCUUCUAUUGUAUUGAAAUUUGAAAUUGUUAUUUUCCUCCUUACUUUUCUUAUUAUAUUAUUCCCAGAUUUUUUCAAGAAUAAGUGUUUUAUACCGGAAAAUUUCACUAGCAAAGAGCUGCUGCAGAGGAGCUUGCUGAGAGAUUUUUCAAAAAAGAAAG